GAAAGAAAGGAUUUAUUCGGUAAAAGAUGGGCCCGCAUCUGAUUAGCUAGUUGGUGAGAUAAUAGCCCACCAAGGCAACGAUCAGUAGCCGACCUGAGAGGGUGACCGGCCACAUUGGGACUGAGACACGGCCCAAACUCCUACGGGAGGCAGCAGUGGGGAAUAUUGCACAAUGGGGGAAACCCUGAUGCAGCAACGCCGCGUGAAGGAAGACGGUUUUCGGAUUGUAAACUUCUAUCAAUAGGGAAGAAAGGAAUGACGGUACCUAAAUAAGAAGCCCCGGCUAACUACGUGCCAGCAGCCGCGGUAAUACGUAGGGGGCAAGCGUUAUCCGGGAUUACUGGGUGUAAAGGGAGAGUAGGCGGCAAGGUAAGCGAUAUGUGAAAACCUUAGGCUUAACCUGAGGAUAGCAUAACGAACUAUCUAGCUAGAGUACAGGAGAGGGAAGCGGAAUUCUUAGUGUAGCGGUGAAAUGCGUAGAUAUUAGGAAGGACACCAGUGGCGAAGGCGGCUUUCUGGACUGAAACUGACGCUGAGGCUCGAAAGCGUGGGGAGCGAACAGGAUUAGAUACCCUGGUAGUCCACGCUGUAAACGAUGAGUGCUAGGUGUCGGGGAGGAAUCCUCG
rnacentral:rRNA from 1 species